GUAAAAAUUUUCUUCUGUUCCAUUAAGAUGAUAUUUAAUGUAAAUCCAAGCAGUAUUUCUCCUGACUCAGUGUCCCACGUUGCCUUCAGUGUGUUGAGAGCAGAGAAAUCAUUUCCAUAGAGAGGAGGCUUUGCAUGGUCAGCUGAUCCUCCAGUGAACUGAGAAGGUUUAUAGUCCUGUGAGUUCAACACUGCAGGACUCAGAUCUGUCAGUCAACACAGCAGAAAGCACAACCACCAUGACUCUCAUCACCAUCCUCAUCUGGACGCUGGCCUGCUGCUGUUUUACAGGAUGCAGCGGUCAGGUGACUGUGACUCAGCCUCCAGUACUGACAACUACUCCCGGAUCCACUGUCACUAUCACCUGUAAAACCAGCCAAGAUGUUGAUGUAUACUGUGGUUCUGCUGAGUGUCUGCACUGGUAUCAGCAGAAAUCUGGACAGCCUCCAAAGCUCCUAAUAAGUGUUGUAAGUGACCAUGAAUCAGGAACACCAGCUCGGUUUAGUGGCAGUGGAAGCGGCUCUGACUUCACUUUGACCAUCAGUGGAGUUCAGGCUGAAGAUGCAGCAGUUUACUACUGUCAGAGUCUACAUGAAAUAAACAGUGCCUAUGUGUUCACACAGUGAUUUGUAGUCAUACAAAAACCUCCCUCAGUCAGACUGCAGAGACACUGAGCUGUUACAGCAGGAACUGACUGCAGCUGCUGAAGAGGAAGAGACUCUGACACAGACCACUGAACACAGAGCUCACACUAACCUCACCAAGCACCAAAUACAGAUUCACAUAUUUAUUUGUAUAUUCUAUAUUUUGUUCAGCUGAUAUUUUAAAAAUCAAAUACAUAUUACAUGUUGUUUAACACUUUCAAAAAUACAUGAGGUCAAAGCCAACAGAAACUUAUUAUAAAGACUGGAAGCUUGAGGGAAACAGUGGCUGCCCUACGUUGUCACCAUAGAUAUU